UGGAAAUCCCAGUCCCCAUAGAGAUGGCGUAUGGAGAGAAGAUUAAAAUUGCACAACUAAAAAUGGAGGGUCCGCCUGAUUUUUUGUUUUGCAUCGAUCAGAUAUGUGACUUCAUUGUUCAUCUUCUUUAAGGACUUAGCAAGAGAUGAAACAAGGUAGUGCCGCAUGGUGCAGCAAACAUCAAAGCAAUCUGGUGGAAUGAUGUUACUGCAGGAGACAGUCCCUUCUUCCUCCGUUUGUUUCUCAUGACUUUUUCCUCUUUGUGUUGUACCACUCCAGCCCAAAUGGCAAGAGAUGUGUGGGGUCUCAGUAGUAAACUCCACAUUGCUUCUUCAAGCUGAUUGUGCCAUGCUGGUGCCAGGCUUUUAUCAUUUUCAUUUAUGACGGCUGUUUUUCAUGUACAUGCCAGCAGUACUCAUGCUGCUGAAAUGAAAUUGCCAGAUAUUGAUGGCCAUCUGUGUUUGAACCUCCCACUACCAGUAGGUGGUCUAAUUAAGAUGGCAGGUGGCACUGCUUUCUCAUAGUACACCCUGGUGCAUCGGGAUCCGUGGCAAUGUGCUUUUUGACUAGACUCCACCAUACAGUGCCCAGACCCAUUCUAAAACUUGCAAUCAAAGCAAUGGAUGAUUUACUAGAGCAAGCUGUUAUAAAAUGUUGCUCUAAUUAUGUUGAUACAGGAGCAUAUCUACUGAACUUAUUAGCAUGUGACAUGUUGUUUACCAGUCUGAGCAUGGAAAAAGUGGACUCAGACUGAAGCUGUCUUCUCUGAUAGCCAGUGAAUGUCGCGGUUCUGCCCACCAUAAUGUUGGCAAAUAUGCCAGAGCUAUUCCUGGUGCCAGUCCUUCAGUCAUCUGUAUUUUAAUAAGUGCAUUCUGCACACUGUGAAGGCCAUGGAAAAGUUUGUCAAACAUCCUGUGAACAUCAUUUCAAUGAUACUGGUCUUUGACUUCCCUCAGAGUUUAUUAAAUGGUGAAAUAUGUUUUGAAGAAGGUCUCUAAAUUCUCUGGGGCAAGGCCUGUUUUUAUGUUUCUACAGAAGCCUAACACAAUGGGGUCCUGAUCUCUGUUGUAGCCUCUGAAUACUACUGGAAUUGAAAUCAACAACAAUGGGUCAGAACUACUUAUUACCAGCUAGAUCAAUGUAAUAAAAGGCAAUGUAUGAUUAGCUCAGUCAAAUUGUACACUGAAAAAAGAAUGGUACUAGCCUUGCAAUGUCAUCAGCAACGUACAAGAGACAAGACUCAGUAUUCUGCCCACAGGGUCAUUAGAAGGAGAAUCUUGACCAGCCUUGGAAAAAGCAUCUCACUCAUGUAGCAGCAGAUCCAGUCCAUUCAUCCAGAAGAGACAUAUUUGUUAGGCUGGGAGUUUCAGAAGAUGGAAAAAACACACACAAAUAAUGGACUGCGUCUAACCUGCCCUACUUAGUCAGAGGAGACAGACAGUUUGACUCCAGAGCUGAACGUCAGCUGUUUGGAUUCAGCUCUGCAAUGCUCAGAAUAGUUUAUACCACAGUCUAAACUGAGCCACCAGCAAUAGGAUCUCCAGUCCCUGAAAUGUCGGGAGAUCAAGUUCACUCCAGGCAGGAGCUGAAUUUUCAAUCCAGGAGGCUGCAUCGUUGUCUAAAGCUCAGGAUUAUUCAGGACUGUUCAAAAGUCCUCAACUGCACCAGCCCAGCUAGUGGUGAUGGAGUCCUAAAUUGCAGGGCCACGUUCUGUUUUCCCCUGUGCUGGUGUGCUUACAAGCGAAGAGAGAGGUUGCGGGUGGAUGCUGACCUAGAAGUCUCUGAAUGCUAGGUGUGCUGAGAGUUAGCGAUGGAUAACAGGGUUCAGAUAUGUGUCAUACAAAGAUCGUGCUUUUGGUUUAUGAAUAUGAAAAUAUUUGUGCUUUAUAGCCUUUUGUAGGAUUCCUCCC